UACGGGGGGGGCAAGCGUUGUUCGGAAUUACUGGGCGUAAAGGGCUCGUAGGCGGCCAACUAAGUCGGAUGUGAAAUCCCCAGGCUUAACCUGGGAACUGCAUCCGAUACUGGAUGGCUUGAAUUCGGGAGAGGGAUGCAGAAUUCCAGGUGUAGCGGUGAAAUGCGUAGAUAUCGGAAGGAACACCGGUGGCGAAAGCGGCGUGCUGGAUCCCUACUGACGCUGAGGCACGAAAGCCAGGGGAGCAAACGGG
rnacentral:rRNA from 1 species